UGCGCUCAGGUUGGUUGCUUCGUUUUCGCUAAAACUAGUUUAUUGCGCUUCGAUGUCACGCGUUAUUUAACCUGGGGUGAAGUGACGUGUUUGCAAGCGGACAUGUAAGCCCGAAAGUUGGGUAUCGGUCGUGAGCCAUUCGGAACACGUCUGCAUCGAAACGGGAGCUGGAUUCUGGUGCGGCUGACAACGGCAAUAACGACAUGCAGUAAUGAGGAUGGCACCAGCAUAAAGCAACACACUCCACACUCUAAACAGAAGCUGCUGCCUACUACAACAAGGCCAUUGUGUGGACAUUGGCUGCUACUACAAGAGUCCAUGCCAAGCAUACCUUGGUCAUCACAGGAGCUCCUAUCCACACCAACAGAAAGGGGCUGGAGCUGAAUUUGCAAGGCUUUUACACCACGAACAAAGAAGCGCAUGCAGAAGAAUUUACAUGAGAUAUCAAGUCUGCAGAGCACUGUGUCAAGACUGAAAAGAGCUUCAGCCACCAUUCCACCAGCGCGGACAAAUUGGCUGAGUCAUCCAGGUAACUCAAAAAGGA